rnacentral:rRNA from 1 species
UGGGGAAUCUUGGACAAUGGGCGCAAGCCUGAUCCAGCCAUGCCGCGUGAGCGAUGAAGGCCUUAGGGUUGUAAAGCUCUUUCACCGGUGAAGAUAAUGACGGUAGCCGGAGAAGAAGCCCCGGCUAACUCCGUGCCAGCAGCCGCGGUAAUACGGAGGGGGCUAGCGUUGUUCGGAAUUACUGGGCGUAAAGCGCGCGUAGGCGGACUGAUCAGUCAGGGGUGAAAUCCCGGGGCUCAACCCCGGAACUGCCUUUGAUACUGUCAGUCUUGAGUCCGGAAGAGGCGAGUGGAAUACCGAGUGUAGAGGUGAAAUUCGUAGAUAUUUGGAGGAACACCAGUGGCGAAGGCGGCUCACUGGCUCGAUACUGACGCUGAGGUGCGAAAGUGUGGGGAGCAAACAGGAUUAGAUACCCUGGUAGUCCACACCGUAAACGAUGAAUGCCAGUCGUCGGGUAGCAUGCUAUUCGGUGACACACCUAACGGAUUAAGCAUUCCGCCUGGGAGUACGGUCGCAAGAUUAAAAGCUCAAAUGAAUUGACGG